AGGACGAACGCUGGCGGCGUGCUUAACACAUGCAAGUCGAGCGGAAAGGCCCUUCGGGGUACUCGAGCGGCGAACGGGUGAGUAACACGUGAGUAAUCUGCCCCUAGCUCUGGGAUAGCUCCGGGAAACCGGGAUUAAUACCGGAUACGACCACCUUAGACAUCUUUUGUGGUGGAAAGAAUUUCGGCUAGGGAUGAGCUCGCGGCCUAUCAGCUUGUUGGUGGGGUAAUGGCCUACCAAGGCGACGACGGGUAGCCGGCCUGAGAGGGCGACCGGCCAACGACUGGGACUGAGACACGGCCCAGACUCCUACGGGAGGCAGCAGUGGGAAUAUUGCACAAUGGGCGAAAGCCUGAUGCAGCGACGCCGCGUGAGGGAUGACGGCCUUCAGGUUGUAAACCUCUUUCAGCAGGGAGAAGCGCAGUGACGGUACCUGCAGAAGAAGCACCGGCUAACUACGUGCCAGCAGCCGC
rnacentral:rRNA from 1 species